CCUCAUGGUUAUUAUUCUUAAACGGUGUAUGGAGUAUUUCAUACAGUGGAAUAAACUCUCAAGACCUAACCCAGACAUCAUUCCUAUUUUUCUCCCCUUUGUGUCCCCAAAGGUCCUGAUCCCAACUCCAGCCUGGAAGGAGGGUGCAGUCUGCUGUGCAUGAGACCAAGAUGAAAUGCCAUUCCAGGUGACUCCGUGACCCUAUGGGUAAAGAAAGCUUUCCCAGCAGCCUUCCAGGAGACUUCCUGUGUCUUGGUAAGGAUUGGGUCACAUGCCUUUUCCUAAAUUAAUCAUGGAAAGGGAAAUUAUAGUGAUCAAUUAGACCAGCGGUUCUCAACCUUGGCUGCAUUUUGAAAGCUCAGGAAAAUACAGAUACCUGGGUUCCACCCUCAGAAAUUCUUUAGUUGUUUUGGGAUGCAGCCUGGUGCAUGUGAUAUGGUUUGUAUCUGUGUCCCCAUGGUUUGUAUCUGUGUCCCCACCCAAAUCUCAUGUUCAAUUGUAAUCCUCAGAGUUGGAGGUGGAACCUGGUGGAAAGUGAUUGGAUCAUGGGGGUAGAUGCUUCAUGAAUGGUUGGCACCAUCCCUUUGGUGCUGUUCUCAUGAUGGUGAGUUCUCACAAGAUCUGGUUGACUAAAAGUGUGUAGCACCUCCGCCCUCAUGCUCUCUCUUGGUCCUGCUCCUGCCAUGUUAGACGCCUGCUCCCACUUUGCCUUCCACCAUGAGUAAAAGCUCCCUGAGCCUCCCCAGAAGCAGAUGCUGCCAUCC
rnacentral:lncRNA from 1 species